CCGUUCUCCUGGCAGCGCGGGCCGUGCCGGAGCCCAGGUGGGCCCGGGCUCGGGAGCGGUGCAUAAAUUGCUGUCCCGAGGGAUGCGGGGCGAUCCCGUGUCCGGGAGUGGAAUCGCGGGUGGGGGAAAGCGGAAUAGGGAGGUGGCGUAGCCCCGCUUUGCGGCGGUGGGACUAAAGGGGACAGAGCGGGAUUCCAUCCGGGGUUUCCCGGUCAGCCGUGGUUUAGAAUCGUAUUAACAGAAUAAUCUAGGUGGAAAAUGACCUGUGACCAAACCACCAGGUCAACUAUACCACGGCGCCAAGGGCCAUGUCCAAUCUUUUCUUAAACACCUUCAGGGACAGGUGGUGACUCCACCACCUCCCAGAGCAGUCCAUUUCAAUGUCUGAGCAUCCAUUCUGUGAAGAAAUUCUUCUUGAUGUCCAACCUAACCCCCUCUGCUGCAGAUUAAACCCAUGUCCUCUCGUUCUACUGCUAGUUAGCCGUGCUGCCCGCAGCUAUGAGCGCCCCUCCUGUCCUCAGCCUCGUGGUACCUUGUGAGGCACCAUGGCUAUGUUCUGUGCCCUCUUUGGCAGGGCUGGUGGAAGCUGCCCGCCUCCUUGUGCUCCGGGAGAAAGGAGAUCCUCAUGAGAGCAAAGCGGUAGCAGGUCAUCAAAGAAAGAUGCCAGAAACUAGUGCAGUGCGUUUUCAUCACUUGCAGCACAUUAUACAAUGUUGCUUGUACAGCGGAUGUUUAUCCAGGGCGUGGGCAUGAGAUGUUCUCCCAACGAUUUGCCAGAGCAAGAUGAAGUGCGUUGGAAGUAAGUUGUGAUGACAUCUCUUCAUGCGUCUGCCUCUUGUUCACGAAAAGCAUCAUCCACUAUCUUUGGAAGUGCUCGAGAUGACUCUGUGGGGAUGUGUGAGCACCAAAGUGAUGUGCAGGGGAGACGCAGCUCAGAAGAAAAGCACGAAGAAGCUCUGCCUGGUUUGGGAACUUCGACCCAGCUGCAGGAAUGAAUCAGAGAGCUUUACAACAGACUAACUGGUGGCUGGGAUGAGCAUCCAGGGUGCUGACACAUGUACACUGAAGCCACAAGCCAUAGCUUGAGGGGACAGCGACUGGAGAGAUGGAUCAGCUGGCAGAGGAGCCCAUUUGUGCGUGUGUGUCUGAACAGCGCAGCUGGAGUGGCUGGUGACUUGAGAUAUAGUAAUAAAAAUUUUAUUCCUGUAUUUCAAAUCCACUCACAUGUCCCUGUUGAUGAGGAAGAGGAAGAGGAAGAGGAAGAGGAAGAGGAAGAGGAAGAGGAAGAGGAAGAGGAAGAGAGUCAAAAUAUUUCCCAGCAGGUUUCUGGAUUUUUCGGUGCUGCACUAGAAAAGGGGACAACUAAACUACAAAGACAGACUUUGUUUUCUGUAUUAACCUGGAAAUGGAUAGUUGAAAUGAAGGAAAAAUUGAUCAGGCUCUUUUUUUUUUUUUUUCUUUUUUUUAACCAGGAGAGGAAAACUGAAGUUGCUACACCUCGAUUUACUAUACCAAGCUUUUAUAUCAGUUUAAAAUCACUUUACUGUGAAUCUGCAUUUUUCCUGAUGAGAAGAAACAUAUUUUGUAUCUUAAAAUAUCCAGAAGCUUACUUUGAAGGUUUGGAAAUGUUUAAUUCCACUACUAAGUGUGAUCAUAUAUAAAUGAUGUUUUUAAUGCCUUAGUAUUGAUCAGAUUGGAGUUUGGGUAAGAAUGGGCUGCCUUUCUCCAAGAAAACAAAUGAUGGAACGUAUUUUGUAGGUAAAAUGUAACUGAUGAUCAUUAAAAAUGUACAGAUGGGUAAGAGAAAAGACAAAUACAUGAUUUCAGUCUCAAUAUAUGAUCAGCUAAGUAUGUUUUGAGAAUAGUUACAGUCAUAAUUUGGAGAGUGAAACCUGAGUGCAUGGGAAAGGCUAUUUCAACCUCCUUAAACUGGGAAAUUUGCAAUAAUGCAUGAAAGCAAUUCCCAGACACUGAAAGGAUUUUUUGUGUCAGAAAGUCAGAAGGCCUUUCAAAGAAGCCAAAUUUCAUAGAACUCUAGACUUAUAAUUAUAAUUAUAAUUCAUAGAACUCUAGACUCAUAAUUAUAAUCUUAGGAUAGUUUAGGCUAGAAUGGACCUUUAAAGGUCCUGUAGUCAACCCCCCAAUUGUAAGUAGGGACAUCUUCAACCCCAUCAGGUUGCUUAGAGGCCAGUCCAGCCUGACUUUGAAUAUUUACAGGGAUGGGGGAUCCACCAUCUCUCAAGGCAACCUGUGUCAAUCUUACCACCCUCAUAAUAACAAAUUUCUUCCUUAUAUCUAGUCUGAAUCUACUCUCAUUUAGUUUAAAAUCACUACCACCUGUUGUAACAGGUCCUACUUAAAAUUUGUCCCCAUCUUUCUUAUAGGCCCCUUUUCAUAUUGAAAGGUCUCCACUGGACCCUUCUCUUCUCCAGGCUGAACGACUCCAUCUGUCUCAGCCUGUCUUCAUAGGAAAGAUGCUGCAUCCCUGUGAUCAACUCAGUUGGCCCUUUUCUGAACUCACUCCAGCAGGUCUCUGUCCUUCCUGUGCUGGGACGCCAGAGCUGGAUGCAGCCCUGCAGGUGGGGUCUCUAACCAGAGCAGAACAGAGGGGGAGAAGCCCCUCCCUCCCCUGCUGCCCACGCCGCUGUAGAUGCAGCCCAGGACAUGUUUGGCUUUCUGGGCUGCAAGUUCACAUUGCUGGGUCAUGCCAACCUUUCAUCCACCAGUAUCCCCAAGUCUUUCUCUGCAGUGCUUCUCCCAGUCUCUUCAUCCUUAGUAUUGAUACCAGGAGCUGUGCUGGCCCGU